rnacentral:lncRNA from 1 species
AUUGAUAAAUAAACAAAUCCUGUUGCUGCUCACCAAGAGGACUGCUUAACAGAUUUACCCAUGUGAGAGGUGGCUCGCUUACAAGUUAAUGCCCACGCACCCAAAGGGCCAGCUCCUGCAUUUUUUCACUUCACCGAUGCCAAAGCCACUUUGCCCACCUUUGCAGCAGACGCAGGGAAUUAACUAUCUCAAGAAGUGGCCCUUAGUUAUUAACUGAUGGCAGCUGGUCCCAGGGUAUCCAAGAAGCUGUCAUCCAGGUCUUCUCCAAUGAAGCUACAACAACCCACAGAGCCAGCAGGGGAACCUACACCUUCGAUGUCAUAUAUGAGCAAACAGUCAUUAGAUGGGCGUCCUUCAUCUUCAUCUGCAUGGAGUGAAUAUGAUGAUUCUGUGAAGGUUUAUUGCAACAUGACUUUUUCAGCACAGCAACAGGAAAAUUUGACUCUGGGUCUGUUCUACAAAAUUAAAGCUUUCUCAGCACAAAAAACAGCAUAGACUGUGAGUGAUGGCGGCCAUCUUGGUUCAUGUGUAAAGACUGAAUUUCAGUGACUACCAACGGCUAUUUCUUAGAAUGUGGCACUUACCCUGGGUUCAGGCUGUGGUCCUUCUACUGCCCAUGAAUGAAUUGCUCCAUCUGAACAUUCGGGAACAGGCUCAAAGCCAGCUGCACUACGAGGAGCACCUCCACAAUCACAACAGAUCAUCAAAAAUGGGACCACUGGUGGUGGAGGGAUAGUAAUACUAGAGUUAGCACUGGGUGCAAAUAAAAAACAAAACAACCUGAUUUUUUAUGGUUAAAU